rnacentral:rRNA from 1 species
UACGAGAGGCCCAAACGUUAUUCGGAAUUACUGGGCUUAAAGAGUUCGUAGGCGGCAUGAAAAGUAGGGUGUGAAAGCCCUCGGCUCAACCGAGGAAUUGCGCUCUAAACUGUCGUGCUAGAGGAACCUAGAGGUGAGCAGAACUGAUGGUGGAGCGGUGAAAUGCGUUGAUAUCAUCAGGAAUACCGGAGGCGAAGGCGGCUCACUGGGGGUUUUCUGACGCUGAGGAGCGAAAGCCAGGGGAGCAAACGGG